CCCGCAGUUUCCUCUGGCGCGCAUGCGUGCGUGCCCGGACCCAGCCUCAAGCUCCAAAGGCUCUCAAGAGAUGCGCAUGCGCUCGCUCUGGGCUCCCUGGCCUCUGCUGAGAGCCUCGCGCUCUAACUGCUCCUGGAGUCCACGGGGCACUGCUCAGAAGAUGCACUUGCGCACGUCAGCUCUCUGCGCCAGCCUCGCGCUCCAACAGCCGCUGAGCACCUACUCGGGUGAUGCACAUGCGCGAGCGCAGAGGCCUAGCCGACAGUUGAGGCCGACCUGGACGUUGCAGAGUUCGCUGCUUAAAUCAAAGCUGAGUCCUGUUCUACCUGCUUUCACCUUGGUGGAGUCCCAGCUGUGCAUAAUAACAAGUGGAAGAGGCCCUCGGGAUGGAGAAGAGCAACAGGACGUGGAUGGAGAAGAAAACAAAAGAGGAUGUGGCGACUGGAGAAGGAGCAGGUGGCAGGAGCUGCCACAGAAACUGUGUGCUUCCCUGAAGACAGGAAGAAGGCCCUGCUGGGAAGAUGGAGACAAAGACUUCAUACCUUGUGAAAUCACUGAGCUCAGCUUAGACCUCUGGGUUCCAGACCCCAUCCUCCAUCCUUAAAGCUAUUGCCUGCAGCUGAGUGCAGGGUAGACUGCUGUGAGACCAGCAGGAUGAAAGCCAGGGCUGGGUCAAAACACGUGGUCUUGGACUGGCCCAGUUGGAUUGAGAAGAGAGCUGAAUGACCAAGGAAAGAUUUGUGAUCGCAACAUUUUAAAGAAAUCAUGGCCGUCAUAAUGCAUAAGACAGACAACAGGGGAAAUAGAAUAAAGAAAAUUGUUAGAUAGAAAAUAGCUGAGUGCAUGAAUGGAUGAGGAUCCAGAGGUGAAAAUUAAAAACAAUAAGGAAGUCUAAGAAUGUUUUAUGGAGUGGCCACCAAACUUGGUAGCACUGGGUGCAAAUGAGAAAGUUUCAUUACAAGGCCUCAAGUCUUUGGAGUCUGCAUUACCAGGACAAUGCUAACACCACAGAGUCAGUAAAGGGGGCACAAUAGAGCUGUCCCCAGGCCAGCACAAAAACGUACCACUUGGCUUGGCUCUUUGUGCAGGCUCACAGAAGUCAAUUCGAUGUCAUACAUGAUGAUCUCAGCCAACAUCAGGGUUGCAUCAGGAGGCUGAAGUAGGAGAAUUGAGAGCCCGAGAACAGUCUGAGCAAUUUAGCAUGACCUUGUCUCAAAAACAAGAGAAAAACAUUUCCAAAGGACUGGAAGUGUAACAUGUACAGCACUUAGCCAGCAUGGAGCCCAUGUCCCUCUGUUCCAAAGGAAAAUAAAAACUGUAUGACUUGCUUGUGAUCAGAAAAAGGAAUAUUUUUGUGAUUUAAGAAAAUAUUUUUGUGAUUUUUUUGAAGUAAGAGGAAGAAGCUAAUUAAUUGAGCAUCAGUUCCCUGGAUUCCCACAUCACCUCAUUUUUUAAUAAUAGCCAUGCUUAAUUAUUAUUUUCACAAUUUAAUUAUGAAGAAAUUGAGGCCAAAAGAUCAAAAUGUACUUGCGGCCACAGAGCUGUAAGUGAUGGAGCUGAUAACACCACAAACACAUUUACUAUGAGGACAAACAAGUGGGGAAAUGAUGUUUUUAAGAGAUCUAAACUCUUUUUGUAAUCUGGCCUCAAAUCUUUACCUACUACUUAAAUGGUCUUCAGAGCUCCUAAAUUAGUCAGCGACUCAUUUUACUCCCGUAUUUAUAAAUAGAACUGACCAGUUUUACCAGGAUGGAAUACAAAACAGAACAGAUAAUCUCUAUAGGGAUAAAGUUAUUUUUUGAAUAACCUUUACUGAAGAAACUAGAUCAAAAGUUUUCAUGACAUUUCAGAGAAGAAUUUAUUUUGAAACAGCAGGAUUGUGCAGCACACGGGGCAGUAGGCUGGGUUAGUCAAGAAUGGAGCAUCAAUGUGUUUAUCUCCCAGACUGGAUGUGAACCAGCCCACCAGAGGGUCCAGCUGGUGGAGCUGGUAACCAGGCCCUGGUUUACUGUGAACUUUCUCAAAGGAGAAUGCAACCACCAGAGUAAUCUUUGGUCCACACUCCAAGCACCAGCCACACAGCCAAAGAUUACCAGUGAGACAUGUCCAG
rnacentral:lncRNA from 1 species